UUGCGAAACAGACCAGGCAGGGGUUUGAUGUUGGAGAAUCAAAGACAGAAUGGAAAAAUCUUUCCUUAGUUGUCAAUUUUCUCUAACUCUAAAGGCACAACCAAGAUUCGAGCCGACGGAGAAAAAGAAGCCUCACAACGGAUCGAGUGGUUUAUUCCACCGGAUGGCAGUAGUACACCAUGUGGAAAACUAUCUAAGAAGAAGUUAAGCGGAGAAGUGUACAUGUGUAUCGAGAGAAUAGGAAGAGAAGGGGUGACUCUUUGGUUUCUCGGGUGGAAGAGAAGAAAUUCUGACAUCUUGCUCGGAGACUGUGGAAAACAAGUUAUUUUCUGUUGAUGUACAAUUCAAAAGAUUUUUAAAACUGUGGUCCCAUUCAAUCUACGGACCACCACUCUACCACUGUUCAGUCUUCAAAAUCAAAUAAAA